rnacentral:misc_RNA from 1 species
CCGGGUCCGCGACUGCCCGCAACCACACCAGUGCAUCGUUUCUUUUCACUCGAGCCGAGGCGGGUCGCUCGCUGGAGGAGCCCCCGGGCCGCAAGGCCGGCCCGCCGACGCGUCGAACGACAUGAAGCUGCCGCGUCCCGAAUAUCUCUUCAGGCUCGAUGCAAGCCCCCCGCCGCGGGCGGCCGGGCGAAUGUCUAGUCA